rnacentral:tRNA from 1 species
GCCUGGGAAGCUCAGUCAGUUAAGUGUCUGACUUCAGCUCAGGUCAUGAUCUCACAGUUCGUGGGUUCGACUCCCGUGUCAGGCU